rnacentral:snRNA from 1 species
AUGCUUACCUGAUGCCGGGGCCCCGCUUACGACCGUGGACGAGCCCCCCCGGCGAGGCGCGGGCGUUGCACUGCGCUCGCGUUGACCCUGCCACUACCCCAAACUGGGGCAGAUGGGGCAUGCAAAUUGCUUAAAUCCGGUUCAAAGCAAGAGAGGGCGCCACCGUC